GACGAACGCUGGCGGCGUGCUUAACACAUGCAAGUCGAACGGAAAGGCCCUGCUUUUGUGGGGUGCUCGAGUGGCGAACGGGUGAGUAACACGUGAGUAACCUCCCCUUGACUUUGGGAUAACUUCAGGAAACUGGGGCUAAUACCGGAUAUGAGCUCCUGCUGCAUGGUGGGGGUUGGAAAGUUUCGGCGGUUGGGGAUGGACUCGCGGCUUAUCAGCUUGUUGGUGGGGUAGUGGCUUACCAAGGCUUUGACGGGUAGCCGGCCUGAGAGGGUGACCGGCCACAUUGGGACUGAGAUACGGCCCAGACUCCUACGGGAGGCAGCAGUGGGGAAUAUUGCACAAUGGGCGGAAGCCUGAUGCAGCAGCGCCGCGUGCGGGAUGACGGCCUUCGGGUUGUAAACCGCUUUCGCCUGUGACGAAGCGUGAGUGACGGUAAUGGGUAAAGAAGCACCGGCUAACUACGUG
rnacentral:rRNA from 1 species